CAAAGGCAUGGUCCCGACCUUAUUAUCAGCUCUAACUCAACUUACACAUGCAAGUCUCCGCAACCCAGUGAAUAUGCCCUCAAUCCCCCCACCCGGGGACGAGGAGCGGGCAUCAGGCACAAACAUUAGCCCAAGACGCCUAGCCAAGCCACACCCCCAAGGGAAUUCAGCAGUGAUAAACAUUAAGCCAUAAGUGAAAACUUGACUCAGUUAGUGUUAAGAGGGCCGGUAAAACUCGUGCCAGCCACCGCGGUUAGACGAGAGGCCCUAGUUGAUAUUACAACGGCGUAAAGGGUGGUUAAGGAUAAACAAAAAUAAAGUCAAAUGGCCCCUUGGCCGUCAUACGCUUCUAGGAGUCCGAAGCCCUAAUACGAAAGUAACUUUAAUAAACCCACCUGACCCCACGAAAGCUGAGAAACAAACUGGGAUUAGAUACCCCACUAUGCUCAGCCGUAAACUCAGACAUCCAGCUACAAUUAGAUGUCCGCCAGGGUACUACGAGCAUUAGCUUAAAACCCAAAGGACCUGACGGUGUCUCAGACCCCCCUAGAGGAGCCUGUUCUAGAACCGAUAACCCCCGUUCAACCUCACCACUUCUAGCCACCCCAGCCUAUAUACCGCCGUCGUCAGCUUACCCUGUGAAGGUAAUAAAAGUAAGCAAAAUGGGCGCAACCCAAAACGUCAGGUCGAGGUGUAGCGCAUGAAGUGGGAAGAAAUGGACUACAUUUUCUAAUAUAGAAUAUUACGAACAUGCACCAUGAAACAAUGCUUGAAGGAGGAUUUAGUAGUAAAAGGGAAAUAGAGUGUCCCUUUGAACCCGGCUCUGAGACGCGUACACACCGCCCGUCACUCUCCCCUGUCAAAACGCACCAAAAAUACAUAAUACAACAGCACUGACAAGGGGAGGCAAGUCGUAACACGGUAAGUGUACCGGAAGGUGCACUUGGAUCAAACC
rnacentral:ncRNA from 1 species